rnacentral:misc_RNA from 1 species
AAGUUGUAACAAGGUUUCCGUAGGUGAACCUGCGAAGGAUCAUUAACACGUAUCCAAACGUUAACCCCCUGUGAACCUUUAGUGUGCUCCUACGCUUUGUCAGAGCGUGGCAAUCCCUAGUAAAUCAUCGCCGAACAGUUUUCGAUUUAGGGACUUCCAAAGAGUGUGCUCGUAGCGCGAGGCAAGUGGCCUGGCAUGGUGUCUGAAAGUGUCACUGGCUGUGCAAGGAUGGCGCAGUCACGAUCGUUGGAGGCCGACACGGCCGACGACCGGCUCACGCCCCUUAAUCACAACUUAAUGCAUGUCAGACGCGCCUGCGCUUAAUUGUGCGACCAUAAAACUCGAGCAACUGUUAACAAUGGAUCUUGGUUCUC